CUGUCUACACUUUACUCACAAGAUAGCCAUACCUCUUCUUCUUCGAAGUGGCAUUCACUGUAUAAAUCAAUGCAUCUUGGUUCCAUUCUUCAUCAUUUGCUGGUAGCUAAAUUAUGGUAAAUUCAGCUAAGGACAUUUUAAAAUCCUGUUUAAUUUGUCCACAUGCUAAAUAUCCCAGCACACAAGAGAAAAAGCAGCAUGUACUUGGAUAAGACAAACCUAGGGCUUCCUUCGAGUUAAGGAACAGUCUUGGAAGUCUUGUUAUAGUUAAUGGUUUUUUGAGUGGAUGAGCAAAUGAAUGAAUAUACAAAUGGUUAUGCACACAAUUAAGCAAACUACUUGAUCACAUUCCUCCUUUUGGUUUUGCUUCCUCUACCUGUCAGUUGUCCUGAACACCUGCGGAGGUAUUUUGUGCAGGAUGGUUUACCACAUUGGCCUUGGGAGUUGAGGAAGCACCAGCUUAGGUUCUGCCACGUGCUCUUUCCUGACAGCGAGUGCUGCUGGCUGCUGACGCCUAGAAUCUCAGCACGGGAGCUGCCUUUGUCACAGACCUUGGUUCCCCAUUCAAUCGAGCACCUGUGCAGUUGCCCUGUGGUCUAGCAUCCCAGGCUCAGCAGUGACAGCUCCUGAUGGGCUUUCACCUGACUUUCUAAAUCAGUGCUGUUCUAAAUCUGUGCUAAAUCUGGUGACCAGCCAGAGCCUGGUCACCCCUGCAUGGAGUAGGAGUGAAGCUUAUGAAAAGGUGAGGUGCCAAACACACAGAGGAGAACACGGAGGAGGCCAUAUUGUAAUAAAGAGAAAGCAAGCAGUCAGAAGUCACCCCAUAAAACACCUUCCACCCUCUGAGCAUGACCAGCAAAGCGGUUUCUUCUUGCGGACACUGCAUCAGCCCAGCUCAAAGUGCAUUCCAUUCUGAUGAACAUCCACAAACAGUUAUGAAGAAGACCCAAAUGUCAUGAUUUUGUUCCUCUCAGAUAAUAAAAAUAUCAUGAUUCUGAAGGAGUGUUGGUGGGUGUUCAAGUCAAUUCAGUUACAAGCAUACGCCUUACCCCAGUUCUCGUGGCUUCAUCCUGAAUUAGAGUUGUCCCCUGUCAUCUGGAAUAUAUUUCCCAUUGAGACACAUUACUCUCACUCCUUCUACAGCUGUCCCAGGGUCAGUGCUUGAUUUCUCAGAGAUUUUGUUAUGUGAAUCAGUCCAAAGUGUGUUACAGCAAGACUAAGUCAUCAUGAGUCACAUGAUCCACACAUUUCCUAUUUGUAUCUUUGCUUGGUUGAGUGUGUUGUGGGGGGUUAGAAUAUAUUUUGGUCUGCUUUAACCUUUGUGUUCCAAUUCACUCUUAGGUUGAAAGAAAAAUAUAAACUCAAAUUUAAAGAAUAGCCUUCUUGUAAAAGACAAGCUUGGCUAUGACUAAGCAGUUGUUACUUGAUGAGCGAGAGAAGCCCCUUCUUGGGUAAUUGGGGCUGCAGGAAUGGAGUGACCGUUUCCCCAUCAGCAUCCCCUCUGGGUCCUUCAGGUCUGAGCUAGAAGAGCAAGGGCCAGCGUCCCCCAGCACAUAGUUGUCUUGAUGCCACAGACAAAAUAAUUUAAUUCAUGUAUGCGUCCUCAUAAAUCUGACAAAUGUUUAGAAAAUGGAAGCUUUG
rnacentral:lncRNA from 1 species